rnacentral:rRNA from 1 species
CAUUAGUGAACGCCCUCACGGGCUUAUAACUAUUCCAAACCUCUGUGAACCGUGCCCUUCGGGGCUAUUUUACAAACAUGGUGUAAUGAACGUCAUAUAUCAUAACAAAGCAAAACUUUCAACAACGGAUCUCUUGGCUCUCGCAUCGAUGAAGAACGCAGCGAAAUGCGAUAAGUAAUGUGAAUUGCAGAAUUCAGUGAAUCAUCGAAUCUUUGAACGCACCUUGCGCCCUCUGGUAUUCCGGAGGGCAUGCCUGUUUGAGUGUCAUGUAGACUCAAUCCCUCGGGUUUCCGAGGAGAUUGGACUUGGGUGUUGCCGCUCUGCCGGCUCGCUUUAAAAGACUUAGCGGGAUAGCACCGUAGUCGGCGUAAUAAGUUUCGUCGGUGAAGGUUGUGAUGACUGCUUACAAUCGCCCUCGGGCAAUUUUUGACUCUGACCUCAAAUCAGGUAGGACUACCC